GCGACAUGGCAGCUUUGGGUCCACCGUGCCCACAGAAGACGAAAUCGUGCCGGUGCUCUUUUAUAGCGGCGCCAAAUGAUGACGUCACGCUGUGAUGCUUGAAAGGAAAGGCCAGUAGAACUGCGUCGUCGGGUGACGACAGCGUUGAAAACGGGGGGCCUUUGCUGAUGAGCUGGCUCGUGUCGUCGCAAGACGCAUAAGGUGGCUGCGCGCAUUCAAAAGCACCGAAGCCAAGAAAAACCUGCACCAAGCAGAGAAGUGUUCCGUUUAGCGACAUGGCAGCUUUGGGUCCACCGUGCCCACAGAAGACGAAAUUGUGCCGGUGCUCUUUUAUAGCGGCGCCAAAUGAUGACGUCACGCUGUGAUGCUUGAAAGGAAAGGCCAGUAGAACUGCGUCGUCGGGUGACGACAGCGUUGAAAACGGGGGGCCUUUGCUGAUGAGCUGGCUCGUGUCGUCGCAAGACGCAUAAGGUGGCUGCGCGCAUUCAAAAGCACCGAAGCCAAGAAAAA